rnacentral:rRNA from 1 species
GAUGAACGCUGGCGGCGUGCUUAACACAUGCAAGUCGAACGAAGCAAUCAGACGGAAGUUUUCGGAUGGAAGACUGGUUGACUGAGUGGCGGACGGGUGAGUAACGCGUGGGUAACCUGCCUCAUACAGGGGGAUAACAGUUAGAAAUGACUGCUAAUACCGCAUAAGCGCACAGUAUCGCAUGAUACAGUGUGAAAAACUCCGGUGGUAUGAGAUGGACCCGCGUCUGAUUAGCUAGUUGGUGGGGUAACGGCUCACCAAGGCAACGAUCAGUAGCCGACCUGAGAGGGUAAUCGGCCACAUUGGAACUGAGACACGGUCCAAACUCCUACGGGAGGCAGCAGUGGGGAAUAUUGCGCAAUGGGGGAAACCCUGACGCAGCAACGCCGCGUGAUUGAAGAAGGCCUUCGGGUUGUAAAGAUCUUUAAUCAGGGACGAAGGAAGUGACGGUACCUGAAGAAUAAGCUCCGGCUAACUACGUGCCAGCAGCCG